AGGUUUUCGCCGUGAUCUGCAGAGUUCCAUGAAGAAAACAUCUGAGAUCAUCGUGAAAGCCAGU
rnacentral:pre_miRNA from 1 species